CCUGUAUUGAGCCAAGAAGUGGAUCCAGCAGGAAGUUGAAGGCCUUCUUUGUAUUUAGCCAAAGCCAGAAGUGUAUUAAAAAAUAUGAGUUUUAGACUGUGCUAUCCUUGUGGUGUGAAGAUCCGCAAGAUCUGGUUACACUCUGUAAAUAUGCGUUCACAGAUCAAAGCUCAUCUGAUAAUACCACCGACAUAUCAGAAAUGUCAGAUACUGGCCCUGAAUCGGAAUCUAAUGUGAACACUUCCCUAAAAAAAGAACAAUUUUAUUUUUCAAAAAAUGAGUCAGGAGAUUGGGCAGGAAGCACAAAAACAAGUGUUUCAGAACGCAACAAAACCAAUAAGAAAACAUAAAAGAACUGGACUACAUCUCAUCAUAUAACAUUACUGAUCAUGAAAUAAAAUUAUUAUCUACAGGCCUGGGAUUUUCUCCCUCUGUUCACUUUGACGUAUACAAAACUAUCCUUGAUGUAAACAAGUUUGUGCAUUUGACCAUUAAAAAACAUUUUCUACCUAGAGAGGA